CCUACGGGAGGCUGCAGUGAGGAAUAUUGGUCAAUGGGCGCGAGCCUGAACCAGCCAAGUAGCGUGAAGGAUGACUGCCCUACGGGUUGUAAACUUCUUUUAUAAAGGAAUAAAGUGCGGCACGUGUGCCUUUUUGUAUGUACCUUAUGAAUAAGGAUCGGCUAACUCCGUGCCAGCAGCCGCGGUAAUACGGAGGAUGCGAGCGUUAUCCGGAUUUAUUGGGUUUAAAGGGUGCGUAGGCGGGGUGUUAAGUCAGGGGUAAAAGGCCGGGGCCCAACCGCGGGAGUGCGGUUGAAACUGGCUGUCUUGAGAACAGGAGAGGUAGGCGGAAUGCGUGGUGUAGCGGUGAAAUGCUUAGAUAUCACGCAGAACUCCGAUUGCGAAGGCAGCAUACUGGACUGGAACUGACGCUGAGGCACGAAAGCGUGGGUAUCAAACAGGAUUAGAUACCCGAGUAGUC
rnacentral:rRNA from 1 species